ensembl:lncRNA
GCUCACACCGCAGCGCUGCGGGAGAAAGGCGAGCGGGAAGCUGACGGUGCGCAGUGCAAAUCGCGGUUUCCCUGCAGGAAGAGCUGAGUCCCCGCACACCGCACACCGCACACCGCACACCGCACACCGCCGCUCAGCCACGGGGAGGAGUGGGAGUUUGCUCGGGGGCUGCUUUACAGCUGCGCUAAGAGCGGCUCGGAGCGGUUCUGUGCUGGGCACUGCGGUGCAUACACCGACCUUCCAUUCCUCCAAGCAUGGCUGCUUCAUCCGAAUCAUGGAGCCACUGCUCAUCGGCGGAUUAAUGACUAUUUCCAGCAAACAAUGCUUUGAAAAGACGCUCCUAAAGGCAAAGCAAAGAUUGGCAGAAACGCUCACAGCAGCUUAGCACGGAGCUGGAGUACAUUGGACUGAGAGUACCCACCUCUGCUGGGAUCCACACAACUUCAUCUCUCUGAGCAGCAGAGCCCCCAGUGUUGGACGGAUGGCCCCAAAACCUCUGAGGUGGUGGCACAGAUCCAUCAGCAUGUGGAACACAGGACCGCAGCGUGGGCUGGCAGCGCCAGGAUUGCACUCCGUGAGCAGCAGUGAUUAUUUCGGAUUUCUGCUAUAAAUAGCUGGGGCUCCGUGUGCCCUUUCAACCUUGGCUUUGGGGAGAGGUGAGGACUACAGAGGGAAAUCCCAGCAGCGGGACUGGCCCUGAUCUGCUGUGAAGUGAGUUCAUCUGACCUGCUCACCCCCGUGUGCCCUGCCCUGGUUUUAUUCAUCAGGAUUACAGACUUCAAAUACGCUGUAAAAGGAACCCGUAUACAACCCUUCAAAAUCACUUAAGUGGGCCAAUGACAGAAGUACCAGCACUGCAAGUACAUACAGAGCACUGCGGAAAUCAUCCCCCGUGUUUAUUUAUGAGCCACUUUUAAUUAUUCAGCGGGAAUGAAUGAAAGAGGUGGAAAAUGGGAAGCGACAGAGGGCUUUGCAUUGAGUUACAGCUCGUGGAGAGCAAAGGGAGAGAUCACGGCGCUUUCAAGUCGGGAUGGUCGGAGGGUAUAAUUACACCCUGCUGCUUUAUGGGCCAAACCUCAGAGAAUUCAAUGGCAAACUGUGUUUCAGAGAGCGUGAGGAGCCCUCAGAAGGCUUCACACAGCACUGAGGAAGAGCAGAAUGCUUCACAUAGGCAGCAGCAGGCAGGGCAGAGCCCUGGGCUCAGCAAGGUCACCUGUCUGAAGGGGAGCUGCACGGACAGCAGUGCGAGUUCUGCUUGGCACGUCUGCAGGGAGCAGAUAUGGAGAAGGAGAAGUGCUGCGAUGCCACGUGGUUAGCUGAAAAGUGUUUUCUCUGCAGCUCCCACAGGAAAGGCCCAUGACUGAGAAAGAACAUGGUGUUCGUUCAUUGGGACAAGCUGAUCUUCAAGCUGAUUUGUGUUAAUUUGGAAAGUGAGAUCUUUUUGUUGUUGUUGUUGUUCCCCCUUUCUUUUUCCAGGAAAAAUGGAGCUGUCUGGUUUUGAUCACUUGGUGUGCUCAGCACCAAAGCCCUCAGAGUAAAUAUCUCCUAUGAAGGACAUUAAGGACCAACUCAUGGGGAGCAGCAGCAGGAAAACACUGCCAUAAACCCAAUACACAUCACGGUGCAUUCGUUUGUUACUUGGCACUGUAGCCGGGGCAGGGAAAACAUAGGAAGGCAUAGAGCAGAAUGGUGCCUCGGGGUGCUGAGUACAGCUGGGGUAGUGUGAUUAGCCCCAAGUGGCAGAGUCCUCCAUGCGCCCUGCAAGGCAGCUGAUGGCUCUGUGCUCCCUUUCCUGCUGGCUAUGGGAGGAAGGAGGGGAUGACCGGGCACGGUGCAAGCCAGCCUUGCUUUCCAUUAGAAUCCUAGAACCGUAGCCAAAGACAACAAAGAAAUAGAAAAAGAAAGACGAUGCACGGCAGCGUGCUGCUGCUGGAGGAAGGCCGAUAAGGCGGCAGCUGCUGCUCUUCCUCUGGGCUGCCCAGCAGAAAGCUGAAGGCAGCACCGCCCGGCUCCUCACCCCAGCGCCGGGGAACGGCUUUAAGGAGCCGUGAUGCUCAGCGGGCUGAUAGGCAGAGCGGACGGCAGACCUUCCAGCUUCCUUCUGCCUUCCGAGCACACUCUGCCCAUUGGGCCCCGCUGUAGUGUCACCUCGGGGAUCUCUGUGGUGUUAAAGCGAACUUCUGCACGAGAGCGAGCAACUCCCGUUUGCACCCCCGCCGGUAUUUCUUCCCCAGAAGUGAACUUGCUGCUCUUCGCCGCGAGAUGGAGCCUUCAGAUCGAGCUCUUUCCCUUAGGGUUGGUGGUUGUUUAAAGCAAUUAAGCCUCAUUUAGAGAUCGCACGUGUUUAGUUUUCUCAGAUUACUAUCUGUGGGUCUUUAUUAUUUUUUUUGUUAAUGAAUCAUAUUUUUCAUCAUCUCUCUCUCUUUUAUCUGAUACGAGGAAACUGCAAAGGCUGCCAGAAUGGGUGCUGCUCCAGCCCAGCUCUGCAGAGGAGGACAGUGAACAAUGCAGCUCUUCUUCUUGGAGAAGCACUUCUCACAGCAUCACAGAAUGGUUGGGUUGGAAGGGACCUCAAGGACCACGAAGCUCCAACCUCCCUGCUGCAGGCAGGGCCACCAACCUCCACAUUUCAUACCAGCCCAGGCUGCCCAGGGCCCCAUCCAACCUGGCCUUGAACACCUGCAGGGAUGGAUGGGGCAUCCACAGCCCCUCUGGCAGCUGUUCCAGCACCUCACCACUCUCAUAGUAAAGAACUUCCCCUCUGACAUCCAACCUAAAUCUUCCCUCCUUCAACGUUAAACCAUUUCCCCUUGUCCCGCUCGAUGCAUUGCUCGAUGCCACGCCACAGGGACAAAGCAGCUGCAGAAAGUGUGUGUUGUGCAAAAGCUGGGGCACGAGUGGGGGCUAAAAGGGACACCUGGAUGGCAGCAUGCUGUCCUUCUCUCUGUUCACCUUCUAGCUCAAUUCUACUUCUGAAAUCUGCCCCUGUUCCAUAUCCUACUGUUCUUCCUGAAGGGCAACGGAAAAGGAUGGCUCUGCUCUUUGGCACCAGCAGAGCUGCUCCUGCCCUGCCUGCUGUGCACCCAUCUGCCACGCUCCUCCCCGGCCUCUGCCCACAGCCACGUCCCCAAAUACCCCGAGAUCUCACUUCCCUUUGGUUUCACUGCCUUUCAGCCCCGAGGGACCAAACGUUUUGUUUUGCUCUGUGCGUUUCCACGUUCAUCUUUCGUCUCCUGUUUGAAGCUAUUGUGAAGAAGCUGCGAAAAGCAAUGUGGCCCUGGUGCUCCUCUGACAGCACUCGGGCUCUGGAGAGGUGUCUGAAAGCUGACAGCAGAGCUCUGUGCUGCUGGGAGGAACCACCUCCUGCGUUUGGGCACCCCACUCUGUGGGGAUUGGGGCCAGGACGGGUUGGAGCAGAACCCCAAAGUCUGAAUGCAAUUCAGUGUUUGCCAGAAGGCAGGGACUGAUAAGGCCUGCUGGGCUCUCAGUGCACCGCUUUAGGCACAUAGUGACAAGGAAAAGGUUCAGCUCAGUGAGGAGCAGGCAGUGGCCACUGCUCUGCUGCCUCUGCCCUGUGUGGGCAGCCCUGCCCCGUGAAGCCCUUCCCUUCCCAGACUUAAAACCAACGCCCUCCUGAGUGCCUUCCUGUACCAGCUCCUUUCUGCUCUCUCUCUCUCUCUAUUUUCUGGGGUCACAGCAAAGAGCAGCACUGGGGCAGCACCCAUGGGACCAUAAUGUGUUUGUAGCACACGGACAGACACACGCAGAGCAUUGCUGCUGAGUUCACUGCAGGUCCUCUGGUGCUGCUGUCAAACCUUCAUUUUCAGGUGUUGGAAAUCAUUUGUUUCCCUUCAUCUGUUUUCUGUCCGCAGAUGGUGCUUCCUCUGUAGGUGAUGGACUCGAGGUGACAGUGAUGGCUCAGUGCUUCCUCAUAUAAGCAGAGCUCCAGAACCACCCUCAGCACAGUGCUGCGCAAUGGCUGCAAUGCUUCGCAGAGGAUCAGUGUGUGUAUGUAAAUGGCGGAAUGUUCUCAAGCAGCACUGGAUUUUGCAUUUUAGCAAGGAUUUCCUUCCCAACUCCUCCUUCCUCAGUGCUGCUCAGUACCUCUUUCCCACUCCUGCCCCUUGUUCUUCCCUGCCCAGCUCUUUGCCCUGCACAGCACGUUCCAGCCCCUCCUUUCUUGCUGAUCUCUGUGAUUAAAAGGUGGUGAGCAACACGGUUAUGAAAGCAAUGAUCUGUGCUGUAUCUUCAGAGGAAUGUCCACCUGCACUGUCUGCAGGAUGGAAACCAGCAGGGAGGCUGCUCCUUACCCUUCUGGCGCAAUGAUUGAACAGAUACUGCCCUCAGUUAAUAACAAUUCCCAAUAACUCUUGAAAUGAAGCAGACACAGCUCUGCUAAUUAAGGUGAAAAAGCAGCUCAUCCAAAUAACUUUCCUCAGAAAGCACGUCCAAUGACACUUCUAUCUGUUACGCUGUGUGUAGUUAUCCCCAGUAGGUUAUACAGGAUGCAAGUGGGAGAAUUUCUGAUGCUCUCAUUAAUUUCGGUGGCAACUUUCUGUACUGGGAAUCAUCAUCCACCUCCACCCAUUGGAAGCAGUUGAAUUUCAGGAAGGUGGCAGUGCACACAUGGCACAGGGUUAAAUUUGGGUUAAAGACAGCAUCAUCUCCAGGCCUCUGGCAAAUGAGGCGGAGUAAGCAGGACACAGCAGGGGAGAUCAGGUCCUUCACAAAUGGGAAUAUUCACUUGGGAAGAAGUAGGAGAAAAUAACCUAGAAAUAAGGUCACUGGUCUCCAGACAGCCCCAUGGGAAAGCCAAGUAGUGCUGAGAGUAAUUUUCCUGCUUAGUGUGGCAGGCGUGUGGGCACACAUCAUAUGGAAGUGAGAGCAAUACAGGCUUUGGACAAUACUAGAAACCCCAAGAGACCACGAAGAGCCCUUAACCCUUUGGGUAAACGGUCCCAUGUGAACACCCAGCACAUUAACUUAUUGUUGCACGAGGCUGGGAAAUGGUUUGGAUCUUAGUUUAUGUGAGCAUUACCAAAGAAUAAAACAUUGCAACAUAUCUGUCAGGAACUGUAUUUCUCUGUGCUACAAUCCUUGAAGAAGAGGAAGUAAACACACUGCUGGCUCUGCACGACUCUUCCUGUAGGGCAACUGCAUUGUCAUCCCCAGGAAAUGCAACACCAAGCCCUGAAAUGAUCUGCACUGUAAAGGGCUGCUACAAUUCUGAGAGCUGUUAAAUUGCAGAGGAACAGAGCUGUGUUUGAUUGGGCAGAACGGUCAGGUUCCUGGGAACCCUUCAUCCUCAGCUGUAUGGUGGAAGAAGAGUGGGGAGUCAGAAACAGGGCAUGGGGAACGUGGCCUCCUCCACAUCACUGCAGCCGGGUGAGAUGAGGUUAUGGAGGAAAAGGCCAUGGUGUCACGGAGCAGAGCCACAGUUCCCCCCUGUCCCAAAGCUGUUCCCACCACUCCCCAGGGCUCUGCCUGAGCUUGAAUCUCAACACUGGUUGGGGUGUGAAUGUCCCAGUCAGACCAUAGGGAACUGUGGCUUUGUCGGUUUGUAGGUUUGGGUCUGUUGGUUGGUUUGGGUUUAUUUGUGGUGGCGUUGUCACUGUUUUGCAUUACUGAGUGCAUGAACCAGAAACUCAGAGUGUUUUACUCAGUCACCUGGGGAUUACAGCAGAUUCCAGGCUGACCAUGAGCCAAUAGCAUGCUUUUGUCUCAGACAGAGAAAACCACACGUUGGCUUACAGUAGGAUGAGGGAAACCAUUACUGCCUUCUACUCUGUGAGGCCUUUCAUUCAGCUUUGCUGCAGCUGCUGCUGGGCCAAGGACAUCAAGACACCACGUGUGGGGCCAGGAAGAAGAAAUGUGUGCAAUGGACACCUACUGUGGCUUGGGAAACCCAACUGAACAUUAGGAAUAUAAAGAUCAGUAGGGAGGUUUGGCGGUGGGUUGAGUAGUAUGGUUAGGUGGAGGUUGCAUGGUCUUGAAGGUCUCUUCCAACCUGAGCAAUUUGAUGAUCCGAUGAUAAGGCGGUGUAGUACUGGAACAGGUCACUGAGGCCAGUUGGAGACUCCCCAUCCUUAGGGAUUUUCAAGACUCAGCUGCACAAAACCCCACUGAACACUGAUGGAAGCUCUUCCUUGGGUGGGAGGUUGGACGAGACGCCCAACAGAAUUCCUCUCCACCAAACAUUUCCAUAUUUCUAUGACCUUAAAUUCAGGCAAAUGCACGUGCCCUUAGCACAAGUGUGUAAGAUUUUGAUGUAUUUCUAACUGCUUUCAGAUCCGGGGAGUUUCACACGAAAGUGCAACAGAAAAAAGUGUGCAGCUUUAAAGCAUUUCUUAAUCCCACCCCUUUAGAAUCUGAGUGCUGUUUACUCUGCUGUCUGCUGGAGAUCCAACACGUUCAAAAAUAGCAUGGCAUGGGGUCCCAUCAAAGCCUUCUAACAUCACCAGGUGUCUCCUCAGCAUGAAAACAAAUUCUUUGAAGAGAUUGCUUGGAAGAGGAAAAUAAAGUACCGCAAGUGAGCUCCUGUGCUGUGAUGUGGUAUCGGAUGUACAGAAAACAUCUGCAGUAAAACUCGUCUGCAAAAGUGAGGCAGGCAGAUUUCCCCUCUGUGUACAUGAAGAGCCACCUUUUCUGAAUUAAUAAUAAUAAAAACAAGGAUAAU